GACGAACGCUGGCGGCGUGCUUAACACAUGCAAGUCGAACGGAAAGGCCCUGCUUUUGUGGGGUGCUCGAGUGGCGAACGGGUGAGUAACACGUGAGUAACCUGCCCUUGACUUUGGGAUAACUUCAGGAAACUGGGGCUAAUACCGGAUAGGAGCUCCUGCUGCAUGGUGGGGGUUGGAAAGUUUCGGCGGUUGGGGAUGGACUCGCGGCUUAUCAGCUUGUUGGUGGGGUAGUGGCUUACCAAGGCUUUGACGGGUAGCCGGCCUGAGAGGGUGACCGGCCACAUUGGGACUGCGAUACGGCCCAGACUCCUACGGGAGGCAGCAGGGGGGAAUAUUGCACAACGGGCGGAAGCCUGAUGCAGCAACGCCGCGUGCGGGAUGACGGCUUUCGGGUUGUAAACCGCUUUCGCCUGUGACGAAGCGUGAGUGACGGUACUGGGUAAAGAAGCACCGGCUAACUACGUG
rnacentral:rRNA from 1 species